rnacentral:rRNA from 1 species
CCUACGGGUGGCAGCAGUAGGGAAUAUUGCUCAAUGGGGGAAACCCUGAAGCAGCAACGCCGCGUGGGGGAUGAAGGUUUUCGGAUUGUAAACUCCUUUUGUUAGAGAAGAUAAUGACGGUAUCUAACGAAUACGCCCCGGCUCACUCCGUGCCAGCAGCCGCGGUACUACGGAGGGUGCAAGCGUUACUCGGAAUCACUGGGCGUAAAGAGCGCGUAGGCGGGAUAGCAAGUCAGAUGUGAAAUCCUAGGGCUUAACCCUAGAACUGCAUUUGAAACUGUUAGUCUAGAGUAUGGGAGAGGUAGGCGGAAUGUGUGGUGUAGGGGUGAAAUGCGUAGAGAUCAAGAGGAAUACUCAUUGCGAAGGCGGCCUGCUAGAACAUAACUGACGCUGAGGCGCGAAAGCGUGGGGAGCAAACAGGAUUAGAUACCCCAGUAGUC